rnacentral:rRNA from 1 species
UACGUAGGGUGCGAGCGUUAAUCGGAAUUACUGGGCGUAAAGCGUGCGUAGACGGUUACAUAAGUCGGGUGUGAAAGCCCCGGGCUCAACCUGGGAAUUGCAUUCGAGACUGCGUAGCUAGGGUGCGGAAGAGGGAAGCGGAAUUUCCGGUGCAGCGGUGAAAUGCGUAGAUAUCGGAAGGAACACCAGUGGCGAAAGCGGCUUCCUGGUCCAGCACCGACGUUCAGGCACGAAAGCGUGGGGAGCAAGCAGG